rnacentral:lncRNA from 1 species
ACAUCUAGCACUCAAUUCAACAUCUAAAUCCAACAUGAGCACACUCUCUUAUUACACUAUAGUUUCUCUAGGCCUAUCUCAACUCCUUUUGCCCUUACAAUCAUCAUCAAGCAUCCACACAUUCAAAUUAACCAACUCUCACAUUCAUUAAGCAAUAAACAUCAUGUGAAUUCUUGCAAAUGGUCAAUUGGUCCAAAUCAUUUGGUUGGGUAAGGGAAGACUUUUUAUUCAAGUGAGUCAAGAGGUUCAAGAUACAUGAUCUUUAAGGUGGUUUACUCUCAAGACAAGUAGCCUUGACAUUGCACAUAAUAUAUCUAAGAAAGGGAUCAACUCAUGCAUACAAUGCUCAAUCUCCAUUGUUCUACCCUUUUCCCAAACAUACAAGUUACACAAUCAUUUCCCAAUGUCAAACCCAACUCACAUCUCUCACCAAAAGAUCCUAAGAACAUUUUUCACAUAAAACUCUUUCUCUUUGAAAUCUACAAGGGAUUUUUUUUUCCUUUCACAAUUUAAAAACAUUUCUUAGCUCCUAACAACUUUGCUAGCCCCCUUUUUCUUUUUUUCUUUUUUUAUUUUUUAUUUUUUUCUUUUUCUUCUCUUUUUUUUUUAUAUUUUGGGGGGCCAAGACUUUUCAUAAACUUGAGCUAGAUGUUUAUCUACUUAUCCCAAUAAGACUAUUCACUUAAACACAAAGAGCCUAUUCUUUUCCUUCAAACUUUUCAUGCUCCCAAAUCAUAAUCACAACACUCACCCCCCACCUAUAGCUAGACAAUAGAGUGCCUAAUCUAGCA